rnacentral:rRNA from 1 species
UGGUGGGUAGUUUGACUGGGGCGGUCUCCUCCUAAAGAGUAACGGAGGAGCACGAAGGUUGGCUAAUCCUGGUCGGACAUCAGGAGGUUAGUGCAAUGGCAUAAGCCAGCUUGACUGCGAGCGUGACGGCGCGAGCAGGUGCGAAAGCAGGUCAUAGUGAUCCGGUGGUUCUGAAUGGAAGGGCCAUCGCUCAACGGAUAAAAGGUACUCCGGGGAUAACAGGCUGAUACCGCCCAAGAGUUCAUAUCGACGGCGGUGUUUGGCACCUCGAUGUCGGCUCAUCACAUCCUGGGGCUGAAGUAGGUCCCAAGGGUAUGGCUGUUCGCCAUUUAAAGUGGUACGCGAGCUGGGUUUAGAACGUCGUGAGACAGUUCGGUCCCUAUCUGCCGUGGGCGCUGGAGAACUGAGGGGGGCUGCUCCUAGUACGAGAGGACCGGAGUGGACGCAUCACUGGUGUUCGGGUUGUCAUGCCAAUGGCACUGCCCGGUAGCUAAAUGCGGAAGAGAUAAGUGCUGAAAGCAUCUAAGCACGAAACUUGCCCCGAGAUGAGUUCUCCCUGACCCUUUAAGGGUCCUGAAGGAACGUUGAAGACGACGACGUUGAUAGGCCGGGUGUGUAAGCGCAGCGAUGCGUUGAGCUAACCGGUACUAAUGA